rnacentral:lncRNA from 1 species
GAUCGUUUGCUGUGCUGUGCAGAAGCUUUUUGUUUGAUAUUGUCUACGGAACACUAUCUUUAAAGUGUUAAAAGAAUAAAUGAGAAUGACUACUGUAGCUGUGCAAGGAUUGAGUCUCCCGUCUGUGAUGCUUGUCUAUGUUCAGUCUAAGGCCCAUCACUUACUGAUGUGAUAAGUUGCUCAGCCAAAUUAAAGGAAUAAAAGAGAUGAGUUGUCAUACAAGUGUUCCUAGAAGAAACGGAGAGUAUCUUCUGUGUUGCCAGUGGAAGAAACUGUGUGGUUCAUUAUGGUUCUCUGGUAGCAAACUGGCUACCUAAGAGAUCUCAACAGGCAGACCCACCUGAGGACUGAGUGAUGCUACAAUGGGCAUAAACGGGCAAAAAAAUGAACACAAGCCAUUUUUGAAGGCGAAUUAAGAAACACAGGUCAGAAAGUGAGUAUUGCUUAUGGUC